ensembl:lncRNA
CCUCAAAGUUUCUCUCCCCUGUUGUUCAAUCUGGUCUAACCCCGGCCAGUAAGUAAUUUAACUCUCCUUCUUUCAAGGACAGCGUAAGGGAGAAGAGAAAAGCGAGGCAGAAAUGAGUGGGAAAUGUUCGUUUUUCUCUGUUAGAAAAAUCAGGAACUUUAAUAAGUGCAGCAUAUUCCAAAAGGACAAAACCAGCACAUGAUGAGACCAGACAUGAAGCUUCCCAUUCCAAGAGAUCUCAGCCAUUUCUCUCAGGCUCCUCACAGCUUUAACAGUGGUUAAGCCCACACAAAAGGAGAGAAGAGCUGAAGAAAUGAAGAUACCCAAAUGGUCUUUGCAAGUGGCAGCUGGGGACAAUUUGUUCUGAAUUGGGGGGAGGUGAUGGGCAGGUGUUUUUAAAUGCUGAUUGAAAUGCACACCUUUUUUCUGCAAAGGGCCUGAGAGUGGCUGGUAGAUGUCCUAGGCUGGUUUUAGCAUAUCUUUGUUUCCUUCCUCAUGAGGGAUUGCUCGCUCUGUCUAGCUCAGAGGCUGCUGUCCCACAAUAAGUAGCCUGUAGGAGAAAAUCUCCAGGAAUCCUGCUGCACUGCAGUCUCACCUGUCUCAGGGUCUGGUAUCACCUUGCUGGGGACCAAGCAUCCCCUUACCAGCUCUUCUUUUUGUCCUUCCUGAUGGUGCCAUACUAUGGAAUGCUGACUUCAUUCAUAUGUAAGUAAAUGAGGAAGUUCUUCCUUCUUUGCCCCUGGAAAUAAUCAAAAUGGAUGGGGAGUCUAUUGCUGUGGGGGGACUCAAGUCACAUCUGACACAAAGUUAUUUGAGGUGAACCAAGAAUGCAAGGACUUGGUUAUC